AUUAAUAGCUUGUCAGCGGCAUGUCAGGGGACCUACGCCUUGUGUAGAGGGAGGCACUCUCUAUCCAUCUCUCUCAUUCUCUUCCAUCUCACCCUCUCUCUCAGGUCGACCUCUCUCUCUACAACCAUCUCCCUCUCUCCCUCUACAACUAGCAAUUGCUCCCCCUGAGAUCACCCUUUCUCUCAGCUCACCUUCUCUCUCUCUCUACAACCAGCAGAUCUCACCCUCGCUCUCUCUCCCAUCUCACCCACUCUCUCUCUACAACCAUUGGCCGCUCCCUCAGCUCACCCUCACUCUCUCUACAACCAGGAAGGCGUGCCUUCUCUCUCUCUCUACAACCUGCAGGGGGAGCAACCACGCAUACAACCAGCAGGGUGUGCCCCCUUUCUCUCUCUACAACCAGAUUAAAGGUAAGGCUUUUCCAUGUGUUUUGCCUCCACAACAACUGUGAUUUUUUUUUAUUUUGGGUGUGGGUGGAAUCCCCUUGAGGUGAUUUGGUAUUUUUUGUUUGAUAAGGUGGUGUUCUUCCCUGAUACAUGUUGCUGGUUUAUUAUUAAUUAUAACUUGUAGUCCUGUUUCUCUCUCGUCACUUGUACACCUGUCUCUGUAGUUUCCGCACAAUAAAGCCAGUGAGAGAAUUGGGGAAAGAACGGAUUUGAUCGUUUAGGAGAUUCACAGUUUGGGAAUUGGUAUAUUUGAUAGUUCUGUAUGCUUGUUUGAAUCUGAGGUUGCAUGCAUGCACUAUAAGGGCAGUCGCAAGCAUUUUCACCUGUCUUCAUUCCCAUCUCUCUCCCCUUACAUGUGCACCUAUUUCCUUAUUAUUGCAUAAUGACGCUAGCGGGAGAGAAUUGGGUGCCCCAAAGGCCAUGAUCAAGUGCAUCGAGGAACACAAACUCUAGGAGCAGUACCCCAUCGACCCUCUCCAAAAGCGAAUCGCACAAUUAGAGAAGGCCAAGGCCGACAAGAGGAGCAGUAGACGCUCCAAAGCCGCAAUCCAAAACUAGAACUCAUGUCCAUAAUUUAGCAAGUAUUUAAGUGCUUGAUUACUUUUUCAAAUCGUUUCGUGUUCUUUACUUAUUUAAGGGGUUGCAAAUUUUGUGCUUCAUUCUCUAUACGCAUAACAUAUUUGGGAUCUUUUAAGUCCUAUUAUUUAUUUCUUGAAUUCGUAAAUAUGGUGAACUUUGAUUAAAAUUUGACGAAAAAAAAUACUUGAAUACCUGUUUGAUGCUAGUAGGGCUACUAUGUGCCUAAAUACUAUGCGAUUUUCUUGAAUCAUUUGUUAAAAAAUGCUUGUAAGUGUUAAAGUCAUUAGUUGAAAUAUAAAAUGUAUUUUGUGUAGGGUCAUUUUUGUAAAUGGACGCCUCCAUUUCGGGAAGCGAGUCAUCUCCCACAUGGUCAAAGCAUGAGAACAUGGGGGGUACUAUUGAGCUCAUGGAGCAAGAUCCCUUGCUCGCAACCCGUCCCCUUCCCCCAUCAAGUUUACAAAUUCGAGAUAUGGGGAAAAUACAUCAUCGUCCAGGGGUUAGAAAUAGAGAUGAGGGAGCAGCCAAUGGUUGUAGAGAGAGACCCUGAAUGAGAUGGGAGAGAGAGCGAGGGUGAGAUCUGCUGGUUGUAGAGAGUGUUGGUUGUAGAGAGAGAGAAGGUGAGAAAGGGUGCUCUAAGGGAGAGCAAUUGCUGAUUGUACAUAUAUUUUCAUCUUUUUUACAAUGUUGAAACCACAUUUUUCGACGAA
rnacentral:lncRNA from 1 species